GACGAACGCUGGCGGCGUGCUUAACACAUGCAAGUCGAACGAUGAAGCCGGAGCUUGCUCUGGUGAAUUAGUGGCGAACGGGUGAGUAACACGUGAGUAACCUGCCCUUGACUCUGGGAUAACUGCUAGAAAUGGUAGCUAAUACCGGAUACGACCCUCGGAGGCAUCUUCAGGGGGUGGAAAGAAUUUCGGUCAAGGAUGGACUCGCGGCCUAUCAGCUAGUUGGUGAGGUAAUGGCUCACCAAGGCGACGACGGGUAGCCGGCCUGAGAGGGUGACCGGCCACACUGGGACUGAGACACGGCCCAGACUCCUACGGGAGGCAGCAGUGGGGAAUAUUGCACAAUGGGCGCAAGCCUGAUGCAGCAACGCCGCGUGAGGGAUGACGGCCUUCGGGUUGUAAACCUCUUAGUAGGGAAGAAGCGAAAGUGACGGUACCUGCAGAAAAAGCACCGGCUAACUACGUGCCAGCAGCCGCCGUAA
rnacentral:rRNA from 1 species